CUGUUGUGAAAAUUAAUAUCGUCUUUGGAUGACUCUUUGCUUUUAUAUCUGUUUUAUGGCUCAUGCCUUAAAAAAUAAGAAGCCACAAAUCUUCCUUUCCUUCUUCUGAUAGGCUAUUCUAAAGAAUGAGGAAAGGGAGAAAGAGUCGAUUUGAACAGUGUAAUUAAUUGGAAGUAUGUGCAAUUGAGAUGAUGUGAUUGAGGGGGAGGAGGAUUGUGUCAUGAUUUCUAACACCUGGAAAUGCAGUUCCUCUCUGCCUAGUUAAUUGUAAUGAAGACAUUAAUAGCCCCUAUGUUUUUGUCAAGUGAAUUUAAUAUAGUUGAACUGGCUUGAAGCAGGAUAGCCAAAAGAACUGGACCCAAAAGUUUAAGCUAUUAAAUAAUAAACUCUGAGGACAGGGACCUUGCUUUUGUAUUCUCCAUAGUGGUAUGAACAUACAUAGUAGGUGCCUGGUAAAUAUUCAUCAAAUUAAUAAGUCAAUUUUGGUUUAGUAGAAGGUUCUGUGAAAUGUAUAUUCUAUCACAUUGUGUGCCAGCUGAACCUAUGUCCAUAAUACUUGAUAAAUAUACUUGCCUCCUUCAUGAAUUCAUUAUGUUCACCCAUGAUUUUUAUAAGGGGGGAAGCUUUCUUGUUUUGUUAAUGGAAUUUGCAAAUGUAGUUAAAAGAUCUCUGGAAAAUAAUCUGUGGAAUCAACAGUCUGGUAAUGUGCCAUAUAAAUGUGAUGUCCAUUUUAAAUAACUGAGAGUUGUAUUUAUUUUCAUGUAUGUCAUAAUAUAUAUUAGUAAUCUUUGAGCUGUAUUUGAGGACUCCCUUUUUUUUUUUUUUGCACUUUGUCAUUGUAUGAAAGUGGUUUCCACAGAUGUUUGAAUUGAGAAAACAUUGAGAUGACUAUCUUUCUGCUUUGAUUUGCUAAUUCAGAUAGAGGUCAUUCUCUGCCUCAUUUCUUACUUAUCUUUAAAUCACUGAAUGGGUGUUGCCUUAAGUCAAACUGAGACCAGUUAAAGACCUUAACUUAAAAAGAUCAAGAUCUCUCCACUGGUCCCAGAUGCCUCCAAAGAAGAAAAUGAGACUGACUUUGCACAGGCCUUCAAUUUAGUUGCAUGUCCUGUCUCCCUGAUUUUAUGGUCCUUUUUGAGAAUGAAGGACAAAGAACAAUAGUUUACUAGUGCUCUGAACACCUAGAAGAUGAUCAAGUAUUGGUUCACAAGUGUGUUAUUAGCCAUUUGGUCUGGGAGGGAGGAAGUACCUAAAAAAAUAGUAGGCUUCCUAAAGGAAAUAAGAAUUGGUAAAUAGCCACACAAAAAUAGAGGAAAUUCAAAUUUUAAUAGCUGUUAAGUUUUGGUAUUGCAUAUAUGUAAAAGCAUCAAACUUCCACUACUUGUCAUAAAUGGUGGUACAUUUGGUUCAUUUAAUAGUAAAGUGAACCUAAGGAGGGAAAAAUUGAGUCGAAUAUGACAGUCAAAAGUUGAUAUCAAAGGAUGAAGUACUGGCCAAUUCCAAGAUAAUGAAGAGAUUUCACCUAGUGAUCAAGUCAGGCUAUUUUGUCACUUUUUAUUGCUUUCCCUUGAGCUAAUACUUGUUCAUCUUGACCAAAUCCCUAGUUAAUCCCACUUCAGUUCGUUGGUCCAUAAUUACCAAAAACAACUAGCUUGUAAAUAACUUGUGUAGAGGUACAGUCACUCGAAGCCCAUAGCUACCUGAUCUCCCAGCAUCUACAUACUAUUUGUGCUUUCCCCAGGUCAACACCACCACUUGGUGGCCAUUAUUGGGAAUUGUCACUGCAUGAUAGUUCGUUCUCUUCCUGGACACCUCGAGAUAAGUACUGUGUCUUCUGGUAGUUUGCCAUGUUCUUGAACAAUGUACACAUCAAUAAAAACAAAUUUGGAAACUAAUGCAAUAACCACCUAUGAAGCGAGAGGUCUCACGUUGAAGCACAUUCCUUAUUGAUGGAUAGGUGCUGAUGUAGAAUAAGAUGUUUUCAGAUGUGGCCAAUGAAGGAAUUUGUUUUACUUGACUGGAUAUUUAUUAUGAGGGCUUUGUUCUUGUUUGUUUUGUUUUCCAGGGUGGAAGGGAGGAUGGGAGAGGGAAAUAGAGGUGCUUCAUGGCAGUCCUCUGACAUGAAGGAGUCCCUCCUGGGAGGACACAGGGUUCUCCUACUGACCUUGCUGUGAGCUGGACUUAAACAGUGUCGAUGGGUUGAGCUCUUGUCCAGGACCCAGUUUAUUUACAUAAAAGUAUUGAUGGGCCAGCCAGAACCAUUGGCAAAAACAAACAAAAAAACCACUUUAAUGAGUUAAUAUCAUGUAAAACAAUGGGGGUUGAUUCAAUAUAAAUAUUUCAAGCCUUGAGGAAGAGGGGGAGCGAGAGAAGAUUAGGGGAUCUAAAGGAAGGAAAACUCGGGCAUACACUAACUCACAUAAGCCCUGGGCUGCAUUGGGGAGCAGAGAGACAUAGUUCCAUUUUGCAAAAAGGGGGGAUCCUCCAGAAGGAAGGGAUGUGUAUGCUGGAGGGGAGGGUAUGCUCCAAAGUGCCUAGAGAAUCUUUAGCUGUGAUUUUGGAUGCUGUCUCUGAAACAAUCCAAACUGCAUAUCGGGGGUCAGGACAAAAUAUUGCUUGGGAGUUUUGUUUGCAGGAAGAAAAACUGGUAGUAUACAAAAUAUUAUUUGGGAGACACAGCUAUACCAAUCUUCAAAAAACAUUGUGAAUAUUUUUCCCAUGAGUAUGUUCCAUGAGUAAGGCUUCCUUGACGGAAAAUUGUCAUGGUGCUCUCAAGAACCUCAGUCCCAAACUUCUAAGAUGUAACCAAAAAUAAAAUUAAAUUAAAAUGUCUUUAAAAUUUCUUAAUUGAGAAAAAGCAGGAAAAAACAGAAGGGGAGAGAAGCAAAAUAGCCUUGAAAGCUACAAGUUGAACUUACAUAUGUUAAAGGAAAAUCAAGCUAUAAAUAGAGAUCUGAAGUUUUAUUUAUAAUCCUAUCUCUGUUUUAUUAUAUAUAUAUAUAUAUAUAUAUAUAUAUAUUCAUUUCUUUGGUGAACAUCAAGUGCAGAAUUAAAAUUUUAUUUAUCUACCUAUCUUUCUAUAUAUGUACAUGAAUACAGAGAGAGAGAGUGUGUGUGUGUGUGUGUGUGUGAAACACCCUCAGGAUAAGGGCUGUCUUUGCUUUUGUAUUUGUAUCCCUUAAUGUGCUUGCCAC
rnacentral:lncRNA from 1 species